AGGUAAGCUACUAAGAGCGAAUGGUGGAUGCCUUGACUGGUAAAGGCGAUGAAGGACGUACUAGACUGCGAUAAGCUACGGGGAGCUGUCAAGAAGCUUUGAUCCGUAGAUUUCCGAAUGGGGCAACCCAAUGUAUAGAGAUAUACAUUACCUAUAUAGGAGCGAACGAGGGGAAUUGAAACAUCUUAGUACCCUCAGGAAAAGAAAUCAAUAGAGAUUGCGUCAGUAGCGGCGAGCGAAAGCGCAAGAGGGCAAACCCAGUGCUUGCACUGGGGGUUGUAGGACUGCAAUGUGCAAGAGGUAAGUUUAGCAGAACAUUCUGGAAAGUAUAACCAUAGAGGGUGAUAGUCCCGUAUGCGAAAAACAAACCUUAGCUAGCAGUAUCCUGAGUAGGGCGGGACACGAGGAAUCCUGUCUGAAUCUGGGUCGACCACGAUCCAACCCUAAAUACUAAUACCAGAUCGAUAGUGCACAAGUACCGUGAGGGAAAGGUGAAAAGAACUGAGGUGAUCAGAGUGAAAUAGAACCUGAAACCAUUUGCUUACAAUCAUUCAGAGCCCUAUGUAGCAAUACAGGGUGAUGGACUGCCUUUUGCAUAAUGAGCCUGCGAGUUGUGGUGUCUGGCAAGGUUAAGCAAACGCGAAGCCGUAGCGAAAGCGAGUCUGAAUAGGGCGCUUAGUCAGAUGCUGCAGACCCGAAACGAAGUGAUCUAUCCAUGAGCAAGUUGAAGCUAGUGUAAGAACUAGUGGAGGACUGAACCCAUAGGCGUUGAAAAGCCCCGGGAUGACUUGUGGAUAGGGGUGAAAGGCCAAUCAAACUUCGUGAUAGCUGGUUCUCUCCGAAAUAUAUUUAGGUAUAGCGUUGUGUCGUAAUAUAAGGGGGUAGAGCACUGAAUGGGCUAGGGCAUACACCAAUGUACCAAACCCUAUCAAACUCCGAAUACCUUAUAUGUAAUCACAGCAGUCAGGCGGCGAGUGAUAAAAUCCGUCGUCAAGAGGGAAACAACCCAGACUACCAGCUAAGGUCCCUAAAUCUUACUUAAGUGGAAAACGAUGUGAAGUUACUUAAACAACCAGGAGGUUGGCUUAGAAGCAGCCAUCCUUUAAAGAAAGCGUAAUAGCUCACUGGUCUAGUGAUUUUGCGCGGAAAAUAUAACGGGGCUAAAGUAAGUACCGAAGCUGUAGACUUAGUUUACUAAGUGGUAGGAGAGCGUUCUAUUUGCGUCGAAGGUAUACCGGUAAGGAGUGCUGGAGCGAAUAGAAGUGAGCAUGCAGGCAUGAGUAGCGAUAAUUAAUGUGAGAAUCAUUAACGCCGUAAACCCAAGGUUUCCUACGCGAUGCUCGUCAUCGUAGGGUUAGUCGGGUCCUAAGUCGAGUCCGAAAGGGGUAGACGAUGGCAAAUUGGUUAAUAUUCCAAUACCAACAUUAGUGUGCGAUGGAAGGACGCUUAGGGCUAAGGGGGCUAGCGGAUGGAAGUGCUAGUCUAAGGUCGUAGGAGGUUAUACAGGCAAAUCCGUAUAACAAUACUCCGAGAACUGAAAGGCUUUUUGAAGUCUUCGGAUGGAUAGAAGAACCCCUGAUGCCGUCGAGCCAAGAAAAGUUUCUAAGUUUAGCUAAUGUUGCCCGUACCGUAAACCGACACAGGUGGGUGGGAUGAGUAUUCUAAGGCGCGUGGAAGAACUCUCUUUAAGGAACUCUGCAAAAUAGCACCGUAUCUUCGGUAUAAGGUGUGGUUAGCUUUGUAUUAGGAUUUACUCCGAAAGCAAGGAAACUUACAACAAAGAGUCCCUCCCGACUGUUUACCAAAAACACAGCACUCUGCUAACUCGUAAGAGGAUGUAUAGGGUGUGACGCCUGCCCGGUGCUCGAAGGUUAAUUGAUGGGGUUAGCAUUAGCGAAGCUCUUGAUCGAAGCCCGAGUAAACGGCGGCCGUAACUAUAACGGUCCUAAGGUAGCGAAAUUCCUUGUCGGUUAAAUACCGACCUGCAUGAAUGGCGUAACGAGAUGGGAGCUGUCUCAAAGAGGGAUCCAGUGAAAUUGUAGUGGAGGUGAAAAUUCCUCCUACCCGCGGCAAGACGGAAAGACCCCGUGGACCUUUACUACAGCUUGACACUGCUACUUGGAUAAGAAUGUGCAGGAUAGGUGGGAGGCUUUGAGUAUAUGACGCCAGUUGUAUAUGAGCCAUUGUUGAGAUACCACUCUUUCUUAUUUGGGUAGCUAACCAGCUUGAGUUAUCCUCAAGUGGGACAAUGUCUGGUGGGUAGUUUGACUGGGGCGGUCGCCUCCCAAAUAAUAACGGAGGCUUACAAAGGUUGGCUCAGAACGGUUGGAAAUCGUUCG
rnacentral:rRNA from 1 species